AACGCUAGCUACAGGCUUAACACAUGCAAGUCGAGGGGCAGCAUGGUCUUAGCUUGCUAAGGCCGAUGGCGACCGGCGCACGGGUGAGUAACACGUAUCCAACCUGCCGUCUACUCUUGGACAGCCUUCUGAAAGGAAGAUUAAUACAAGAUGGCAUCAUGAGUCCACAUGUUCACAUGAUUAAAGGUAUUCCGGUAGACGAUGGGGAUGCGUUCCAUUAGAUAGUAGGCGGGGUAACGGCCCACCUAGUCUUCGAUGGAUAGGGGUUCUGAGAGGAAGGUCCCCCACAUUGGAACUGAGACACGGUCCAAACUCCUACGGGAGGCAGCAGUGAGGAAUAUUGGUCAAUGGGCGAGAGCCUGAACCAGCCAAGUAGCGUGAAGGAUGACUGCCCUAUGGGUUGUAAACUUCUUUUAUAAAGGAAUAAAGUCGGGUAUGGAUACCCGUUUGCAUGUACUUUAUGAAUAAGGAUCGGCUAACUCCGUGCCAGCAGCCGCGGUAAUACGGAGGAUCCGAGCGUUAUCCGGAUUUAUUGGGUUUAAAGGGAGCGUAGAUGGAUGUUUAAGUCAGUUGUGAAAGUUUGCGGCUCAACCGUAAAAUUGCAGUUGAUACUGGAUAUCUUGAGUGCAGUUGAGGCAGGCGGAAUUCGUGGUGUAGCGGUGAAAUGCUUAGAUAUCACGAAGAACUCCGAUUGCGAAGGCAGCCUGCUAAGCUGCAACUGACAUUGAGGCUCGAAAGUGUGGGUAUCAAACAGGAUUAGAUACCCUGGUAGUCCACACGGUAAACGAUGAAUACUCGCUGUUUGCGAUAUACAGCAAGCGGCCAAGCGAAAGCGUUAAGUAUUCCACCUGGGGAGUACGCCGGCAACGGUGAAACUCAAAGGAAUUGACGGGGGCCCGCACAAGCGGAGGAACAUGUGGUUUAAUUCGAUGAUACGCGAGGAACCUUACCCGGGCUUAAAUUGCAGAUGAAUUACGGUGAAAGCCGUAAGCCGCAAGGCAUCUGUGAAGGUGCUGCAUGGUUGUCGUCAGCUCGUGCCGUGAGGUGUCGGCUUAAGUGCCAUAACGAGCGCAACCCUUGUUGUCAGUUACUAACAGGUUCCGCUGAGGACUCUGACAAGACUGCCAUCGUAAGAUGUGAGGAAGGUGGGGAUGACGUCAAAUCAGCACGGCCCUUACGUCCGGGGCUACACACGUGUUACAAUGGGGGGUACAGAGGGCCGCUACCACGCGAGUGGAUGCCAAUCCCAAAAACCUCUCUCAGUUCGGACUGGAGUCUGCAACCCGACUCCACGAAGCUGGAUUCGCUAGUAAUCGCGCAUCAGCCACGGCGCGGUGAAUACGUUCCCGGGCCUUGUACACACCGCCCGUCAAGCCAUGGGAGCCGGGGGUACCUGAAGUGCGUAACCGCGAGGAGCGCCCUAGGGUAAAACUGGUGACAGG
rnacentral:rRNA from 1 species